UACGGAAGGUGCAAGCGUUGCUCGGAAUCACUGGGCGUAAAGGGUGCGUAGGCGGCUGCGUAAGUCUGGCGUGAAAGCCCCGGGCUCAGCCCGGGAAGUGCGCUCGAAACUGCGCAGCUCGAGUGCCGGAGGGGAGAGUGGAAUUCCGAGUGUAGAGGUGAAAUUCGUAGAUAUUCGGAGGAACACCAGUGGCGAAGGCGGCUCACUGGUCCGGUACUGACGCUGAGGUGCGAAAGCGUGGGGAGCAAACAGG
rnacentral:rRNA from 1 species